AGUGCCUCAGCUGAUCCUCCUUGCUCUUGUCCUUGGCAACACCAUUAUGGACACUGCGAACUUUUUUGAUGGGGUGGUGGAUGCCUUCAGUGCUGCUUACCUCCUUCAAGGGGACAGGAUAGAACCGGCCUUUGUUCAGAUACAUCGGGUGCUGUCCCCUGGCUUCAGCCACAUCAAUCUGGAAGCUUCGAGGACUCUAUCCAUCUACAUCCCAGAGAGAAGUCGAAGAAGAAAAGGCACCAACACCAGAGGAUGAGGAAACUGGAAAAGUUUUGAGAAGUCCGGAAACAGCCAGCCCUGAAGAGGCAGCAGUCAGGUGAGGAGAAUGCACCACCCAAAGCCAC
rnacentral:lncRNA from 1 species